UACGGAGGGUGCAAGCGUUGCUCGGAAUUAUUGGGCGUAAAGGGUAGGUAGGUGGUCUCAUUUGUCUGGGGUGAAAGCCUUGAGCUUAACUCAAGAAGUGCCCCAGAAACGGUGAGACUAGAGUCCUGGAGAGGGUCGUGGAAUUCCCGGUGUAGCGGUGAAAUGCGUAGAGAUCGGGAGGAACACCAGUGGCGAAGGCGGCUGGCUGGACCUGACCUGACGCUGAGGCGCGAAGGCGUGGGGAGCGAACGGG
rnacentral:rRNA from 1 species